UUGACCUCAAAUCAGGUAGGACUACCCGCUGAACUUAAGCAUAUCAAUAAGCGGAGGAAAAGAAACUAACAAGGAUUCCCCUAGUAACUGCGAGUGAAGCGGGAAAAGCUCAAAUUUGAAAUCUGGCAGUUCUUUUGACUGUCCGAGUUGUAAUCUAGAGAAGUGUUACCUGUGCUGGACCGUGUACAAGUCUUCUGGAAUGGAGCAUCAUAGAGGGUGAGAAUCCCGUCUUUGACAUGGACUACCAGUGUGCUGUGGUGCGCUCUCAAAGAGUCGAGUUGUUUGGGAAUGCAGCUCAAAAUGGGUGGUAAAUGCCAUCUAAAGCUAAAUAUUGGCGAGAGACCGAUAGCGAACAAGUACCGUGAGGGAAAGAUGAAAAGAACUUUGGAAAGAGAGUUAAACAGUACGUGAAAUUGCUGAAAGGGAAACGCUUGAAGUCAGUCACGUUGGCUAGAAAUCAGCCUUGCUUUUGCUUGGUGUACUUUCUGGUUUGACGGGUCAGCAUCGAUUUCUUUGACCAUUGGAUAAAGUCUUUGGGAAUGUGGCAUCUUUUGAUGUGUUAUAGCCCAUUGUCGCAUACAAUGGUUGGGAUCGAGGAACUCAGCACGCCGCAAGGCUGGGCAUAGACCACGCUCGUGCUUAGGAUGCUGGCAUAAUGGCUUUAAUCGACCCGUC
rnacentral:rRNA from 1 species